AUUGAACGCUGGCGGCAUGCCUUACACAUGCAAGUCGAACGGUAACGCGGGGCAACCUGGCGACGAGUGGCGAACGGGUGAGUAAUAUAUCGGAACGUGCCCAGUAGUGGGGGAUAGCCCGGCGAAAGCCGGAUUAAUACCGCAUACGACCUACGGGUGAAAGCGGGGGAUCGCAAGACCUCGCGCUAUUGGAGCGGCCGAUAUCAGAUUAGGUAGUUGGUGGGGUAAAGGCCUACCAAGGCAACGAUCUGUAGUUGGUCUGAGAGGACGACCAGCCACACUGGGACUGAGACACGGCCCAGACUCCUACGGGAGGCAGCAGUGGGGGAAUUUUGGACAAUGGGGGGCAACCCUGAUCCAGCAAUGCCGCGUGAGUGAAGAAGGCCU
rnacentral:rRNA from 1 species